CUGACAGACCUGGAGACAGGCCCUCUCUAUGAAACAAGGACAGCAUGGGCAGGAACAAUUCAGGCUUUUCCAUACUGCCCUGCCAGUAUUUCUCAACUCUGACCUGAGGAGACAACCAUCCUCAUUCUUUCUUUUGCUGCU
rnacentral:sRNA from 1 species